rnacentral:tRNA from 1 species
GGAGAUGUAGCUCAGUGGCAGAGUGCUUUCCUAGCAUGUGUAAGGCCUUGGGUUCAAUCCCCAGCACCUCAA